rnacentral:rRNA from 1 species
UACGUAGGGGGCCAGCGUUGUCCGGAAUCAUUGGGCGUAAAGCGCGCGUAGGCGGCCAGAUAAGUCCGGUGUGAAAGUCAAAGGCUCAACCUUUGAAUGCCGCUGGAAACUGCCUGGCUUGAGUCCGGAAGGGGCGAGUGGAAUUCCUGGUGUAGCGGUGAAAUGCGCAGAUAUCAGGAGGGACAUCAAUGGCGAAGGCAGCUCGCUGGAACGGUACUGACGCUGAGGCGCGAAAGCGUGGGGAGCGAACAGG